ensembl:snoRNA
AAGACUAUACUUUCAGGGAUCGUUUCUAUAGUUCAUUACUAGAGAAGUUUCUCUGACUGUGUAGAGUACCAGAAACCACGAGAAGGAGAUGUAGCAUUCUCUCCUGCUCAAGAGGCUGGCUCUUGGUGUUGCUUCGCUGCAACCGCCUUUUGCCAUGGAUGAUCGUUCUUCUCUCUUUCCGGAGAGUAAAGGGAGAGGAUGAAGUCUGAGUGGGG